ACCCUAGCCACGCACGCCCUCGCUCUCUCUCUCUGAAGCUCGAUUGAAGACUAUUUGUCGAACGUGAGACAAUUCCUAGAGCAACUGUAUACUAUGUCCAAAAUAUGUGAGAUAUGUUCUAGAUUCAAUGGGAUGUAUCAAGUGAUAUACUUUUCCUAUUCAAGCUUUCUGUAAAUAGUAUUUCCCUAUUCAGCUCUCUUUAUAUGGUUCUUGGGACAUAACAGAAUAGUUUGAAAUGAACAACAAUCGGCGGGUGGAGGUCCACUACAUAGAUAUUGGAUUUCAUUUCACCAUCACUGGGAGUUUCAUGGAUUUAUUUGAAGGCCUUACAUAUGUUCAAGCAUAUUUUGCUCUUGCAGGAGCCAAUAGGGCCCACCUAUGAUCAACAAUGACAAUUUGACAGGAGGAAUGCUUGGUAGAUUUGGAACAUGUGCCAAAAGUAUCCAUGAAAGGGUAAUCACAACCAAACAAUUAAGGGCAUACAAGAUGGACGGUAAGAGUAAAAAUGGUUUUAUGACUCAUUUCCACAUGUAGCUUGGCUUUAUUUUCAAUUCUCCUUGGCAAUAUGCAAGUAACUAAAUCCUCAACCAUCUCAUGGCGAACAUUAAUUUGAGUCAGCAUAAACCUUUGGAUCCUCUUUUUAAAAGGGCUUAGAGUGGAAGGAGAAAGUAGAAGAAUCUUCAACUAGAACAAUGUCUCUAAGCUUAAAGACAUCGUUUGAGUAGCUUGCAGUGGAAGUUGAGCCUAGCACCUCAGAAGCAUUUAAUCAAGAGAGAGAAGAAGUGUUCCCAUAUCUACCAAAUGAAGUUACCCAAGCAAGGUCAGCCUAAGCGACAUCUUCUUACAACUGGAUGGAGUGUGUUUGUAAGUGCAAAGAGGCUUGUUACAAGAAAGAAAAGAAUUAGUUACUCCUGGGAAUCCAGUGUGCUAAUCGGCCACAAACAGUCAUGUCAGUUUUAUCAAGUGAUAGCAUGCACAUAGGGCUCCUUGCUGCAGCAGCUCAUGCAGCCUCCAUAAAUAGUCGUUUCACUAUUUUUUAUAACCCAAGGGCAAGCCCAUCUGAAUUUGUCAUACCUCUAGCCAAAUAUGCUAAAGCAGUCUACCACACCCGCGUUUUAGUUGGCAUGUGCUUUCGGAUGCUAUUUGAGACAAAAGAGUCAAGAGUGUGUUG